rnacentral:rRNA from 1 species
CAGCCGCCACGGGUAAAACGGAGGGUGCAAGCGUUAAUCGGAAUUACUGGGCGUAAAGCGCACGCAGGCGGUCUGACAAGUCAGAUGUGAAAUCCCCGGGCUUAACCUGGGAACUGCAUUUGAAACUGUCAGGCUGGAGUCUUGUAGAGGGGGGUGGAAUUCCAGGUGUAGCGGUGAAAUGCGUAGAGAUCUGGAGGAAUACCGGUGGCGAAGGCGGCCCCCUGGACAAAGACUGACGCUCAGGUGCGAAAGCGUGGGGAGCAAACAGGAUUAGAUACCCGUGUAGUCCCUGUCUCUUAUU